AACGAACGCUGGCGGCAUGCCUAACACAUGCAAGUCGAACGAGACCUUCGGGUCUAGUGGCGCACGGGUGCGUAACGCGUGGGAACCUGCCCUUAGGUUCGGAAUAACUCCCCGAAAGGGGUGCUAAUGCCGGAUAAUGUCUUCGGACCAAAGAUUUAUCGCCUUUGGAUGGGCCCGCGUUGGAUUAGCUAGUUGGUAGGGUAAAAGCCUACCAAGGCGACGAUCCAUAGCUGGUCUGAGAGGAUGAUCAGCCACACUGGGACUGAGACACGGCCCAGACUCCUACGGGAGGCAGCAGUGGGGAAUAUUGGACCAUGGGCGAAAGCCUGAUCCAGCGAUGCCGCGCGAGUGAUGAAGGCCUUAGGGUUGUAAAGCUCUUUUACCCGGGAUGAUAAUGACAGUACCGGGAGAAUAAGCUCCGGCUAACUCCGUG
rnacentral:rRNA from 1 species